UACGGGGGGGGCAAGCGUUGUUCGGAAUUACUGGGCGUAAAGGGCGCGUAGGCGGCCUGCUAAGUCGGAUGUGAAAUCCCUCGGCUCAACCGAGGAACUGCAUCCGAUACUGGCGGGCUUGAAUCCGGGAGAGGGAUGUGGAAUUCCAGGUGUAGCGGUGAAAUGCGUAGAUAUCUGGAGGAACACCGGUGGCGAAGGCGGCUCUCUGGACGGUGACUGACGCUGAGACGCGAAAGCGUGGGGAGCAAACAGG
rnacentral:rRNA from 1 species